rnacentral:rRNA from 1 species
UACGAAGGGUGCAAGCGUUACUCGGAAUUACUGGGCGUAAAGCGUGCGUAGGUGGCCUGUUAAGUCUGAUGUGCAAGCCCCGGGCUCAACCUGGGAAUUGCAUUGGAUACUGGCAGGCUAGAGUGCGGUAGAGGGGAGUGGAAUUCCCGGGGUAGCAGUGAAAGGCGUAGAGAUCGGGAGGAACACCAGUGGCGAAGGCGACUACCUGGACAAGCACUGACACUGAGGCACGAAAGCGUGGGGAGCAAACAGG